rnacentral:rRNA from 1 species
CAGCUCCUACGGGAGGCAGCAGUGGGGGAUAUUGCACAAUGGAGGUAACUCUGAUGCAGCGACGCCGCGUGAGGGAAGACGGUCUUCGGAUUGUAAACCUCUGUCUUUGGGGAAGAAAAUGACGGUACCCAAAGAGGAAGCUCAGGCUAACUACGUGCCAGCAGCCGCGGUAAUACGUAGGGAGAGAGCGUUAUCCGGAAUUACUGGGUGUAAAGGGAGCGUAGGCGGGCGAGAAAGUUGAAUGUUAAAUCUACCGGCUUAACUGGUAGCUGCGUUCAGAACUUCUUGUCUUGAGUGAAGUAGAG